UACAGAGGGUGCGAGCGUUGUCCGGAAUCACUGGGCGUAAAGGGCGCGUAGGUGGCGGGCCAAGUCCAUGGUGAAAGCUCGAUGCUCAACAUCGAGUCGGCCACGGAUACUGGUGCGCUGGAGCACUGUAGAGGCUAAUGGAAUUCCGGGUGUAGCGGUGGAAUGCGUAGAGAUCCGGAAGAACACCGGUGGCGAAGGCGGCUUUCUGGGCAUUUCCUGACGCUGAGACGCGAAAGCGUGGGGAGCGAACCGG
rnacentral:rRNA from 1 species